CGGUCCGAACCGAAUAUCAAUAGUACUGAAAAUUGGAUACCGAUACCGGUACCGUUUGAACUGGUAUACCGGACCGAUUAGCCGGUCUGGUACCAGAUCGGUUACGAUUUUUACCGGCUUAUACUGGAUUUUCAACCCAAACUAUUUUCAGCCCCAAAACAGAAAUUUUAGCCUAAAAACUUUCAGCCCAACCGAAUUUUUAGCCCAAAAACUCAGCCCAAACUUAAAUACUGACUUGCUUGAAUUAUGAGGCUUAGUAAGAUAGACCCAUAUGCCUUACUUUCAGCCUAAACUUAAAUAUUGACUUACUUGAAUUGGCCCAAUUGGUAAUUAUUGUUACAUGGUAAUCGAUUUAUAAGGGAAAAUCUAAUUAAAGUUUUACCAAUUUAACCAAUAUAAGACUUGGAGACAAGUAAAUAGUAAAUGUUUCACUUGGUAGUGUUUUUAUAAAGAAAACUUUCUUAAAUUUUUAUAAUCUAAUCAAUGUGGG
rnacentral:lncRNA from 1 species